GAUGAAGAACGUAGUGAAAUGCGAUAAGUAGUGUGAAUUGCAGAAUUCAGUGAAUCAUCGAAUCUUUGAACGCACAUUGCGCCCCUUGGUAUUCCAUGGGGCAUGCCUGUUCGAGCGUCAUUUGUACCUUCAAGCUCUGCUUGGUGUUGGGUGUUUGUCUCGCCUCUGCGCGCAGACUCGCCUCAAAACGAUUGGCAGCCGGCGUAUUGAUUUCGGAGCGCAGUACAUCUCGCGCUUUGACAACAAAACGACGACGUCCAAAAAGUACAUUUUUUACACUCUUGACCUCGGAUCAGGUAGGGAUACCCGCUGAACUUAAGCAUAUCAAUAAGCGGAGGA
rnacentral:misc_RNA from 1 species